AAUGCCCCGCAUUUCUCGAAGGCUUACGCUCCUGCGUAGGGUAUUCAUGUAGGGAGUGUGGGGCGAU
rnacentral:ncRNA from 1 species